rnacentral:rRNA from 1 species
GAGUGGCGAACGGGUGAGUAACACGUGGGUGAUCUGCCCUGCACUUUGGGAUAAGCCUGGGAAACUGGGUCUAAUACCGAAUACACCUUGCUGGCUGCAUGGCCUGGUGGGGGAAAGCUUUUGCGGUGUGGGAUGGGCCCGCGGCCUAUCAGCUUGUUGGUGGGGUGAUGGCCUACCAAGGCGACGACGGGUAGCCGGCCUGAGAGGGUGUCCGGCCACACUGGGACUGAGAUACGGCCCAGACUCCUACGGGAGGCAGCAGUGGGGAAUAUUGCACAAUGGGCGCAAGCCUGAUGCAGCGACGCCGCGUGAGGGAUGACGGCCUUCGGGUUGUAAACCUCUUUCAGUACCGACGAAGCGCAAGUGACGGUAGGUACAGAAGAAGCACCGGCCAACUACGUGCCAGCAGCCGCGGUAAUACGUAGGGUGCGAGCGUUGUCCGGAAUUACUGGGCGUAAAGAGCUCGUAGGUGGUUUGUCGCGUUGUUCGUGAAAACCGGGGGCUUAACCCUCGGCGUGCGGGCGAUACGGGCAGACUUGAGUACUGCAGGGGAGACUGGAAUUCCUGGUGUAGCGGUGGAAUGCGCAGAUAUCAGGAGGUACACCGGUGGCGAAGGCGGGUCUCUGGGCAGUAACUGACGCUGAGGAGCGAAAGCGUGGGGAGCGAACAGGAUUAGAUACCCUGGUAGUCCACGCCGUAAACGGUGGGUACUAGGUGUGGGUUUCCUUCCUUGGGAUCCGUGCCGUAGCUAACGCAUUAAGUACCCCGCCUGGGGAGUACGGCCGCAAGGCUAAAACUCAAAGAAAUUGACGGGGGCCCGCACAAGCGGCGGAGCAUGUGGAUUAAUUCGAUGCAACGCGAAGAACCUUACCUGGGUUUGACAUGCACAGGACGCCGGCAGAGAUGUCGGUUCCCUUGUGGCCUGUGUGCAGGUGGUGCAUGGCUGUCGUCAGCUCGUGUCGUGAGAUGUUGGGUUAAGUCCCGCAACGAGCGCAACCCUUGUCUCAUGUUGCCAGCACGUAAUGGUGGGGACUCGUGAGACACUGCCGGGGUCAACUCGGAGGAAGGUGGGGAUGACGUCAAGUCAUCAUGCCCCUUAUGUCCAGGGCUUCACACAUGCUACAAUGGCCGGUACAAAGGGCUGCGAUGCCGUGAGGUGGAGCGAAUCCUUGUUAAAGCCGGUCUCAGUUCGGAUCGGGGUCUGCAACUCGACCCCGUGAAGUCGGAGUCGCUAGUAAUCGCAGAUCAGCAACGCUGCGGUGAAUACGUUCCCGGGCCUUGUACACACCGCCCGUCACGUCAUGAAAGUCGGUAACACCCGAAGCCGGUGGCCUAACCCCUUGUGGGAGGGAGCCGUCGAAGGUGGGAUCGGCGAUU